UUCUCACUCCAAAAACAUUGCUCCUCAUGGAGGCAGUCUAAACAAACACGUCUUAAUUAAGAUCAACCUUCAUGAUGUAUCAAUGUAUUUUCCUUCCAAGGUCCAAAGUUUCAAAUGAUUCACAUACCUGAGCACACUAGAAAAGUUAAACUAGUCUGGGAUUAUUAAUGCUUUCCGAGACAACACCAACGCCUCUCAUAAAGGUUACUCUGCAAAUGCGAAGAUAACAUUAAAAUUUCAAUGAAUCACAACAUUAUCGACAUCUUCAGCAAACCAUGUCCUUGUCAACAAUGCCAUUCAAGACAUAAGAUUGUAGUGAACACGAAUGGCAAUCUCAUGACUUUGUCCAGGCAAUCAAACAAACCACUCAACAGCCUCAAUGUACUGCUAUAAAAUGACCCCGAACUAAAAGUAAAGAAAUAAAUGAAGCUAUGUUUCUCUCAGGCAUUUCAUCAAGCAGCUGGUUCCCUCAUCCAGUAAUUCAGAUAUCAUUAUGCAAAAGCACAUUGCAAAUUCAAGAACAGUAAUAUCGUCUAAAAUGACAUAGUCUUUCUUGUGCAAAACUUAUUGCUAGUAAAGAAGAUCCAAGUGUAGUAGCGACCAUGAGAUGAGAGAACCACUAAGAUUCAAAUAGUGUACUGCAAUUAAAAUUGUGAGCAUUGACUAACUGAGAUUCAAAUUGGGAGCAUUGACUAACCGAGAUUCAAAUUAUGUAUGAUAAUUAAAAUUUUGAUAUUUUGAUUACUCGAUUGUUUCAUUAGGAUUGCAAGCAACCAAUUUAACAGGGGAAGAAGAGAACUUACCUGGAAAAAAAUCACGAUGAGGUACUAGAAUUGACAUAGCAGCAAUUUAGGUUUUCUGAUUCUAUUGACAGUAUCAGUUUCUAAUAAAGGGAAAAUAUGUUUCCUAGUUCCUACAAGUUUCUAAUACGAGGAAGGAACCAUAAUUUUCGUCCAAAAAAUUUGGAGGGAAUGAUGUUUUUGUUUUUGUGGGGGAUAGAAACG
rnacentral:lncRNA from 1 species